UACGAAGGGGGCUAGCGUUGCUCGGAAUCACUGGGCGUAAAGCGCACGUAGGCGGUUCUUUAAGUCAGGGGUGAAAUCCCGGAGCUCAACUCCGGAACUGCCUUUGAUACUGGAGAUCUUGAGUCCGGGAGAGGUGAGUGGAACUGCGAGUGUAGAGGUGAAAUUCGUAGAUAUUCGCAAGAACACCAGUGGCGAAGGCGGCUCACUGGCCCGGUACUGACGCUGAGGUGCGAAAGCGUGGGGAGCAAACAGG
rnacentral:rRNA from 1 species